rnacentral:lncRNA from 1 species
GCUUAACAGAGGAGCUGAAAGGUCGCAAGUAUGAGCUGUACAAGAAGCUACCCCAACUCUGUCCUCACCUUCUCUUCUUAAAUGUUUGCUUUUACCCCAGGAAACUUGGAAUUUCCUCUCACAGAUAAAUUGCUGUACUGUGACCAAAAAACAUUUAGCAAAGUUAGCAAAAAAGCUCUUCAAAUAUAAGAAGUCACAUGAGCUCGCUGGAUUGUGGGGCCAUGCAGAAAAAGAAAGGAAGAAAGGAGCCUCACUUUACAAGAUAGGAAGGAAUGUUACUUUGAGAAGCAUCUGACAGACAAUCUGAAAGAUAAUUUAUCUUGACCUUUACUGGCCUGGGAAGAAGACUUUUAAGUAAAUGUUACAUGAUGGGGACUGUACCUCCAGCAUCCAGUGACCUCUCAAAUGUGUAAAUGAAUUCUUUAAAGCAUGUCAGCACUUUUAAAGGGAAGUGUCACCACUGAUGGUCACUGAUGCCUUCUGUCUUUGAAAGAGUUGCCCAGAGUCAGGAACCACUGUGUGGAAGAAGAUACCACUGUAUCAUUUAAAGCUUGAUGAAAGAACACCAGGAAAAAAAAAAAAAAAAAAGUAUCAUGUAUAGAAAAAAUAAUUAUUUAUUGAAUGUUAGAAGUCCAGUGCAUUAACUGCUCUUUCAGUGCAACUGGCAUUUACAGGGUGCCAUUAG